CUUUCAGCAACGGAUCUCUUGGUUCUCGCAUCGAUGAAAAACGCACCGAAAUGCGAUAAGUAAGGUGAAUUGCAAAAUUCAGUGAAUCAUCAAAUCUUUGAACGCACCUUGCGCCUCUUGGUAUUCCAAGAGGCAUGCCUGUUUGAGUGUCAUUU
rnacentral:rRNA from 1 species